rnacentral:rRNA from 1 species
CAGUCAGAGGCGAUGAAGGACGUGCUAAUCUGCGAUAAGCGUCGGUAAGGUGAUAUGAACCGUUAUAACCGGCGAUUUCCGAAUGGGGAAACCCAGUGUGUUUCGACACACUAUCAUUAACUGAAUCCAUAGGUUAAUGAGGCGAACCGGGGGAACUGAAACAUCUAAGUACCCCGAGGAAAAGAAAUCAACCGAGAUUCCCCCAGUAGCGGCGAGCGAACGGGGAGGAGCCCAGAGCCUGAAUCAGUGUGUGUGUUAGUGGAAGCGUCUGGAAAGGCGCGCGAUACAGGGUGACAGCCCCGUACACAAAAAUGCACAUGCUGUGAGCUCGAUGAGUAGGGCGGGACACGUGGUAUCCUGUCUGAAUAUGGGGGGACCAUCCUCCAAGGCUAAAUACUCCUGACUGACCGAUAGUGAACCAGUACCGUGAGGGAAAGGCGAAAAGAACCCCUGUGAGGGGAGUGAAAUAGAUCCUGAAACCGCAUGCAUACAAGCAGUGGGAGCCGACUUGUUCGGUGACUGCGUACCUUUUGUAUAAUGGGUCAGCGACUUAUAUUCAGUGGCGAGGUUAACCGAAUAGGGGAGCCGUAGAGAAAUCGAGUCUUAAUAGGGCGUCUAGUCGCUGGGUAUAGACCCGAAACCGGGUGAUCUAUCCAUGAGCAGGUUGAAGGUUGGGUAACACUAACUGGAGGACCGAACCCACCGUCGUUGAAAAGCCGGGGGAUGACUUGUGGAUAGGGGUGAAAGGCUAAUCAAACUCGGUGAUAGCUGGUUCUCCCCGAAAGCUAUUUAGGUAGCGCCUCGGACGAAUACCAUUGGGGGUAGAGCACUGUUUCGGCUAGGGGGUCAUCCCGACUUACCAAACCGAUGCAAACUCCGAAUACCAAUGAGUACUAUCCGGGAGACAGACUGCGGGUGCUAACGUCCGUAGUCAAGAGGAAAACAAUCCAGACCGCCAGCUAAGGCCCCAAAAUCAUAGUUAAGUGGGAAACGAUGUGGGAAGGCAUAGACAGCUAGGAGGUUGGCUUAGAAGCAGCCACCCUUUAAAGAAAGCGUAAUAGCUCACUAGUCGAGUCGGCCUGCGCGGAAGAUGUAACGGGGCUAAAACUAUGUGCCGAAGCUGCGGAUGCACAUUUAUGUGCGUGGUAGGGGAGCGUUCUGUAAGCCGAUGAAGGUGGAUUGAGAAGUCUGCUGGAGGUAUCAGAAGUGCGAAUGCUGACGUGAGUAACGACAAAACGGGUGAAAAACCCGUUCGCCGAAAGACCAAGGGUUCCAGUCCAACGUUAAUCGGGGCUGGGUGAGUCGACCCCUAAGGCGAGGCCGAAAGGCGUAGUCGAUGGGAAAUUGGUUAAUAUUCCAAUACUUCUGUGUAAUGCGAUGAGAGGACGGAGAAGGUUAGGUCAGCCUGGCGUUGGUUGUCCAGGUGGAAGACAGUAGGCAUGCAUCUUAGGCAAAUCCGGGGUGCUCUAUGCUGAGAGUCGAUAGCAAGCCAGUUUACUGGCGAAGUGGCCGAUACCAUACUUCCAAGAAAAGUCUCUAAGCUUCAGUUACACAGGAAUCGUACCCGAAACCGACACAGGUGGUCAGGUCGAGUAGACCAAGGCGCUUGAGAGAACUCUGCUGAAGGAACUAGGCAAAAUGGUACCGUAACUUCGGGAGAAGGUACGCUGCUGAUGGUGAUAGGACUUGCUCCUUGAGCUGUCGGCAGCCGCAGAAACCAGGCCGCUGCAACUGUUUAUUAAAAACAUAGCACUCUGCAAACACGAAAGUGGACGUAUAGGGUGUGAUGCCUGCCCGGUGCUGGAAGGUUAAUUGAUGGGGUUAGCGUAAGCGAAGCUCUUGAUCGAAGCCCCAGUAAACGGCGGCCGUAACAAUAACGGUCCUAAGGUAGCGAAAUUCCUUGUCGGGUAAGUUCCGACCCGCACGAAAGGUAGAACGAUCUGGGCGCUGUCUCGACGGGGGACUC